rnacentral:lncRNA from 1 species
GCUGGAGCCACACCAGUCGAGGAUAGAGCUCUCGAGGAGAGAGUGAUCAUGCGACCAGCUCGCAUGGUUCUGCACCUCUCUCAUCAGACGAUAAGCUCUAAUACUUAAUUUAUAUAUUUUUAUUUAUGUUAUUUUAUCAUUUGUUAACUAAUAUAACAUUCUUUGUAUUAGAUGUUUUGUGCUCUGGUUCGAAGGAUAGGAGGUCACCAAUGACCCCAUGAUCGCAUGCAGUAGCGACC